GGAUAGAGGCCUACCAUGGUGGUAACGGGUAACGGGGUGUUAGGGCACGACACCGGAGAGGGAGCCUGAGAAACGGCUACCACAUCCAAGGAUGGCAGCAGGCGCGCAAAUUACCCAAUCCCGACACGGGGAGGUAGUGACAAUAAAUAACAAUACGGGGUUCUUUCGGAUCUCGUAAUUGGAAUGAGUACAAUUUAAAUCUCUUAACGAGGAACAAUUGGAGGGCAAGUCUGGUGCCAGCAGCCGCGGUAAUUCCAGCUCCAAUAGCGUAUAUUAAAGUUGUUGCAGUUAAAAAGCUCGUAGUUGAAUUUCGGGGUUAGUAGGUUGGUCAUGCCUCUGGUAUGUACUGGUCUCACUGAUUCCUCCUUCCUGAUGAACCGUAAUGCCAUUAAUUUGGUGUUGCGGGGAAUUUGGACUGUUACUUUGAAAAAAUUAGAGUGUUUAAAGCAAGCUAACGCUUGAAUACAUUAGCAUGGAAUAAUGAAAUAGGACGUUCGAUCUUAUUUUGUUGGUUUCUAGGAUUGACGUAAUGAUUAAUAGGGAUAGUUGGGGGCAUUAGUAUUCAAUUGUCAGAGGUGAAAUUCUUGGAUUUAUUGAAGACUAACUACUGCGAAAGCAUUUGCCAAGGAUGUUUUCAUUAAUCAAGAACGAAAGUUAGGGGAUCGAAGACGAUCAGAUACCGUCGUAGUCUUAACCAUAAACUAUGCCGACUAGG
rnacentral:rRNA from 1 species